GUAGGUGAACCUGCGGAAGGAUCAUUACCGAGCUCGUGCCCUUCGGGGUAGAUCUCCCACCCUGCUUACCUUACCUUUGUUGCUUUGGCGGGCCGUCCCUCCAGGCCACCGGCUCCCCGCUGGUGCGCGCCCGCCGGAGAACCCCAAAACCUAUCGUUAUCGUGUCGUCCGAGUACUAUACAAUAGUUAAAACUUUCAACAACGGAUCUCUUGGUUCUGGCAUCGAUGAAGAACGCAGCAUCUGACUGAC
rnacentral:misc_RNA from 1 species